AGAUGAGAUUAGUAACAGCAGGGCAGCAGCUGACACAAUGCGUGGCCCAUUGUACAGAUGCAGUAAGUGACGGCCAUGAUUAUUACUGCCAUUGUUACUCUUGGCAUUACUCAGUUACCUGUGGGUUAGGAGGCUGAUGCCUGGCGCGUUGAAGGGAUUAACCCGUGAUCCUUCGGCCAGUGACGGACCCGAGAUCAGAUGCAGGGUUCGUUCUCUGAAGCUCUGCCUUUCCUGCCUUUUUCUGUCUGGUCUCUAAGCCAGCAGCAAGCCAAGCACUACGUUGUGCAGACCGAAUUUAGCAUCCAAAGCAGAACAUAUCGGUGGGUGAAAAGUGGUGCUGUUACUCAUGAUGCUGUGACAAGAGGAGUAGAUCAGAAUCUAAAGAAUAAGGCUCCACGGCUUCAUCUGCAGCCUGCGGUGCUUUUCCUCAGGAGAAGAGGUUUGAGUAUCAGAGAGGAAGUUGAUACCGGAAUCAAGAACGUUGACUCCUAGAUGGAGCUGUGCCACCGGCUAAAUGCAGCGUGGCUUGAAGAGAUGUGUUCGUUGUUGGCGCAGCAACCUCAUUCUGGAUGCGUGAAGGGAAGCUGUCUUUCUCACCAAAAAGACAGCUAAAUAUAAUCACUUAAGGAAAGCUGAUGUACCUUACAGAAAGAAAAGAAAGUUUCCAGACUUUAAAUUUAACAGCGCUAUCUCCAAAGUCUCUGAGACCAGGAAUCUGGCCAUCUCUAUGGAUUAUACAGAUCUGUUGCUUUUCGUCCUUUGUUGGUUUCUUCACUUUCACCAUCUUUAUAGCUUCUACGUUUCCAAACUGAGUCCUUGUCUUCAUGUGACGUGUAAAUAGUAAAAUGUCCAUUUGACCAGACUCGAGUGGGUGGGUGACUUGAAUCGAAACUAGAGAAAUCUCCAAAGCAGAUAACGUCUAAACCGUUCUGAAUACGAUCUUUGAUCACAUUAAAUAAUUGUAAUCUCCUUGUCUAAAAACUCUGGGAUCUAAGCCCAGGGCAGAUCUUGUUGUUAAGGAGUCAAAACUUAGACAGAUAUGAUAAAAUAGCAAAAGGCUAAAUAUUCUGUGAGUUCUCAGCUCUAUUCUUUCAUUCUCAUUAGCAUCUUUAGUUGUUUCCAGUGAGACCCCUUUGCAGCAGACACAGAAAGACGACGUGUCGGUGCGCUGAUGUGUGGUACCAUUUGAAAUCCGCACGGGCUUUCUGUCCACCUGCUGUGCUUCGUGCCAGUAUACGUUUCUAUGAUUAAUUUGAUUUUUCUUCAGUACAUCCGAACGGUCUAAGUCAUUUGUGCUUGUGCAUUUUGUUCUGUGGAUCAAAGUGGACUUCUGCUUUCUAAGAAGUGGGCUCUUUGGGAAUUUGAAUUCCAGACUCUCUGUCACAGAUGACUAUGGAUCCUGAUUCCUUCCUUGACAUUUACAGUCCCACACGUGCAUGACCCCAGCCUCCCUCUAGAGAAUUCGAGCAGUCUGAACUUGGAUGAGAAAAAUUACCUCUUAAUGUUUCGCUAAUACAUGACAAAAUUUUUUAGCAUUUCCUUUCGUGUUUCAUAUCAGAAAACCGUGGUGGUGGCAGCAGUACUUACGGUUUUGUCACCAGUGAAAAGCACAGGUACAUUCCUAUCACCUUGUCACCGAUCUCCUGGAACGUGACUCAUGCUCGGCGCACCUUCAACAUUGUGAUGGUGAUUCGAUUCCACCUUUUGAUCUUGUUAUGUAAUAAACUGGUGAGGAAGUGUGUGCGUUGUACUAUCAGAAA